UGUGUGUGUGUGUGUGUGUGUGUGUGUAUGAGGGACAGACUGCUCCGCCUUUCAUGUUUUUGCAGUCACAUUAUAAACUCACAGGUGCUGCUAAUGCUGCUAACUGGUAUCGACGCUUCCCGGGCACCGGCAAGUUGGAAGAAGGUAACAUGGAGGACCACACGUAUUCAAAAUCCAAAUUUCAGAAACAGGAGUCUUCUUCUUCGCCCAGAAAGAGAAAAAGGAUAUUAAAAAGAGCAAGAGACUGGCUUUUUGAAGUGUGAAGGCUACAGUAGCUGCAAUACAUUUAGUACUUGGAACUGUGUAGCGCGAGAGAGUUGACUGCGAUAUAUGAUCUCAACGCUAGAUGGGAGAAAUUCCUACACAUUGGACCUUUGAAGACCCGGCUCACUUCCUGGGGGCAUGGCUACAACU